rnacentral:lncRNA from 1 species
GGAAAACAGCACAGCGCUGGCUUUAACGAUACUUCGCUGGUUGAACACGAAGAAUACCCGGUUCAACCAGACCAGAGGGGGGAGUGGUUGAUGAGGAGUGAUAUGUGCAUAGUAGGGAAAUGGUGUAAACCAGAGAAGUCAUCCUCGACAGAGGAGUCGCAUCUGACAGAGAAGUCAUCCUCCCCAGAGGAGGCGUAUUUGCCAGAGAGGUCAUCCUCGCCAGAGGAGUCGUAUUUGCCAGAGAGGUCAUCCUCGCCAGAGGAGUCGUGCUUACCAGAGGAGUCACUUCCGCCAGAGACAUCAACAUCGCCAGAGAAGACGCCCUCGCCAGAGAAGACAUUUUU